rnacentral:tRNA from 1 species
GGGGUUGUGGCUCAGUGGUAGAGCACUUGCCUGGCAUGUGUGAGGCCCUGGGUUCGAUCCGCAGCACCA